UUUCCCCUCCGCAUCGCUCGAUCCAACUCCUCCCUCUCCCUCGGUCUCGCCUCUCCUAUCGCUCGAUGUCGCUCGAUCCUCUCUAGGGUUCGCCGCCCGCCGCCGUCCCUCGCCGUCCUGCUCCGCUGUCGCCCCUCCCUCCACCUACCUCGCCCCUGCUCUAGGGUUCGCCUCCCGCCGCCCUGCUCCGCUGUUGCCCGUCCUUCCGCCUGCCUUGCCCCCUCCCCUACACUCACCCCUGCCCGAUCUGGAUGAGGCGUUGCCUCCCGUUCCUCUCAUCGCGUCCCUUGUGCCAGCCAUGGAAGAGGGGAGGAAGAAGGGGAGGGAGAGCAAAGAGGACCGCGGUGGCGAUGUGCCAACGUUGGCAGGACGAAGAUGUGUGAAUCAAGGAGUCCCUGCAUCUACCCGCGACCCUAGAAUAGCCGCUACCGCUGUGACCUUUCUCCAUGCCGUGAGCUUCGAGGAGUCUGGCGGCGCCAUCACGCCGGCCUCUGUCCAAGAGGUCAUCGCGCUCAACAGGCCCUCACUCCUCGGCUCCGCCUGCAGAGGUCGUCGACGCCAUCGCAGGGUGCCGCUUUGAGGCCGGGGUUGAAGCUGCCACCGAGGAGGCCAUCUUGACGCAGAUGUUGCAGGCACUCCUGACGUUCAUGCGCUCCCCUGCGAUUAGUGACCAACACAUCUGCUCUAUCGUGAGCAUGUGCUUCGUGUCAUACAGGUCGCGGCCAAAGGCGAGCUCGUGCAGCGGUUCAGGUGCAUCCCAUAGGGGCAGCUCAAGUUUCUUUCAUAAUGCUAUUUGUUCUGAGUGCAUUGCAUAUUGAAGUAAACUGGAUGGGCUAAUCUUGAGUUCCUCCAUCAAGUUAUAUUACCUCGACAAGAAAAGGUGCAGGAAAACCAUAUAAAGUACUAUGGUGAGUCUAUCUCAAUUGAACUAGAACUCAAAUUGUAGCAAUUCCAAGCUUUUUUCUACAACUGCAAUUGGGUGGACUAUGGUAUGGGUCGGUUUAUUAGUUUGAAGGGAUUUUAAGUGACAACCUGCUACUUUUUCUACUGGUAGUGAAUUCAAAUUAAGUCUGAUGUCUCUAUCUAAUAUACUGAACCUGGAAGAUUUGUCUGAGGUCUUUAUCUAAUAUAUCAAGAAUUGUCUUUCUGUUCUGAACAUGAGAAAUUUACCUUACUGUUAACUGCAGUUUUGUCUCAUUGCCAAUAUAUCUGCAUAAGGUACAUCUAAGGAGGCCUUCUCCGACAAGGAGGCUGCGGGUCAAGGUCGUCGGCAGCGACGAUGCCGCCAGCCGCAAGCGCCGCCGCGAGGACGACAAAAGAGAAGUUUAGAUCUUUUUGGACAGUUACUGCAGCCAACAGCCAACAUUCUAAAUGAGUAUAAAACAAUGCUAUGAGGUAAUAUAUCCCUCUGUGAUAAUAGUUUAACAUAUGGGCUACUCGUGGUUGCAUGCUAAAUUAUUGCUGGUAUCAACUUUAUUAUUAGUUUAGUGAUUAUUACAAGCAUCUCAAUUUUUCAGUCAAAGGCAUCUAAAAUGUUUCUUGAUUCACGCAUGUAUAUUUCAAAGAGGAAUGCAGCCUUGAGUAAAUGAAUAUUGCAAAGCUUAAUACCAGUCCCAAAAACUUGCUCUGGCCAGAGAAAGAGGCCAAUAUCCGGCGUGGUCUGUUCAAUCUACUACAUGUAAUUUGGUGUUCUAUUGUGCGCACCAUCAGUUUUUGUUGUUGUAUAAGUUCUACUUCAAAUAUGUGUAGCUAGACCCCGUCGAAGUGAUCUUUUUGUUUCUCGUCUCAUGUAACUGAAGAAAAUGAGAGAAGGUAUUGGACACUGGUCAUGUAUGUAGUCGGCAGAGCUGUUUUAUGCAAUGCCUAUUGUCACAAUAGCAUAUAUGUCUAUACGGGGAGGAGACCAAGAGAGUACAUCAGAAGCCAUUGAUUUGCCAUGGAAUAUUAAAAACUUUCAGAUGACCUGUUCAUAUGAUGGUAUCCACAAGAAACUUCAUAUCCUGUAUGUUUUAGCAUGCUCCACACAAAUAUAUUAAUUAAUUUGUGUAGGUAUGCUUCUCCUUCUUUCAGUUCCUGAAUAAUUAUACCACCAUCUGUGUGGAGUAUCUUGUAGUGCUCCACACAAAUAGAUAAAUUAUUUUUUAUGAGUAUGCUUCUCCUUUUAUCAGCUCCUGAAGAAUUAUACUGAUGUCGUGUGCUUUAUUUGCAAGAUUUAUAUGACUUAAACAAGAACUUGUUAAAUAAUAUGAGUGCAUAUAAGUAGAUUGAUCUUGCCUCUUAUGUAGUCUGGUAGAUUUGGAAAGAAAGGAAUUGCAGAUUUUGUCUGGACAAAGAGAUGAAGCCAGAAAGGUAAAUGUCUCAAGUUCUACAGAAUGUUCGCCUCAUAUUGGAGGCAUUUGAAACAAGCCUUUGCUACUGUACAUCCAAGCUGGGUUCUUGAUGUUAAUUUCAUUUAUACGCAUAGUAAUAAAUUUUGCCCCUGGCUUCCUAAGCAUAUACUUUGUUCCUGGCUAGGAAUAAUUUCCGAACAGUUUUACAAAUGGUGAAAAAGAAAGGGUUUUGUUUACUAUUUUUUAUGACCGUGGACUCAUGAGUUCAUAACAUAUAAUGUAUUAUUUGUGUUCAUUCCUUUAAUGUGGAUUAUAACAUGAUCUACCUUUGCAUAAACAUCGAUGACUACUUUUGGUUCAUAUUCAUGCAUCCACUUCUCGAUAUUGAGAUUUUUCACAUAUACUGAACUUGUCUUAGUCAGCCCAACUCAGCUGUAUGUGUGACAUUUAUAAGAUGACUCCGUAAAAUUCAUAGAAGACACUAUUCUUUUAUUCUGUUCUUUUGUUUCUUCCAGAUUUUGCUCUCCUCGCUUAUACUUCGAUAUUGUUAAUUUGAUUAGAUGACUCGGUCGAUGAUGUUGGGCAUGUCCAUGGUAUCCAUUAAAAAACUUUAAAAAAAAGUCUUGCACCGGAAUAAAAUUAGAUAGCACACCACUUAUGAGUCGAAACAUAUGCAAGCCAAGCCGGUACCAUAAAAUUAGUAGAUUAGGUCCAUUCCAGCCGCUAAUUCUUUGUGCCAAUGCUAAGUAUGUGAUGAUCUUUCCACAAAAAAUCAAGUUUGUAUAGAGUGACCAAUGCUAAGUAUGUGAUAAGCUUGCACUGACUUUUAGUUACAUCUGAUGAUCUUUCCACAAAAAAUGUAUUAUAGAGUGUAAUAUUUACAGUGUGGGGAUGUUGGUGGCCAAGAAAGUUUAUGCCCUUGUGAAGACAUUACUAUGAAGUCCUAAGUUAUCCUGUAAAAAGGAUUCUUAUGAUACGCAUGUAAAUCAACUUCUGAACUUUUAUGUAGAUAUUUAAGUGCCAAUACCAUCUUUUGGUAUAACACAAAAAAAUCAAGUUUUGAGGCCAGAGAUUUACCUUACUUUUGCAUAAGGUUUUGUUGUAAUUCGUUACCAAGAUGGGUAGCACUGUAUAGUUUCCUAGCAGCAUCAUUUGGCCAGCUUCUUAGAUUUUAUCUGCAUGAAUAGUAGAUUUUCUCAUUUUGAUUUAGAACAUUGUAAAUGUUCACCUCAGCUGCCAGAUUAACAUAAUGGAACGUCGUCAGGUGUAUUUGAAGGUUGCCAGUUUAGGUGGGCCAAACAACCAGUGCGCUGAGGUCAAAAUAAGCAUGACACCAGUUUGAUUCUUUUAGGGGUCGCCUACAUGAUGAAAGAUGCUCAGGCACACAUCAUUGUUGGGUUUUCGCAUGUCAUGUCAUACUUGGUCUGUAACUGAAUCUUGAGAAUUCAUUUGUAUGACUUGAUGUACAGACGUGUUAUUCAUAAUGAAAAUAAUAUCAUUGUAUGUGCUUAAAAUAUUA